GAGUGGAUAGUGGAAGAGAGAUGUGGAGAGUAGGAUGGUGGAAGGGGGAGGUGGAGGUGGCUAUGGCGGACGUGACUGGGUUGAGGUGGUGGUUGUGGUGGUGUUUGGUAUGGUUGGAAUGGUUGUAGAGGGUGUUGCUAGUGAUGGUGAACGUGACUGGCUUAUGUUAAAGGUGGUUGUGGUUGUUGGGGAUGGUGGUGGUUGUGUGACAGUGGUGGGUGCAGCGGACGCAACGGUGUUGUGGUUGUUGGGUGUGGUUGAGGAUUGCGAUGGUGGUGGUGGUGGAGGUGGAGGUGAUAGGUGGCGGUGGUCGUAGUCGGAGCGGGCUAAGCGGUGGUGGUGGUGGUGUAAAAAGGUGUUUAUCGGACGGAGUGGAAGUGGUGGUGGUGGCGGUGAUACGAUUAUCAGGGAUGAGAGAGAGAGAGAGAGAGAGAGAGAGAGAGAGAGAGAGAGAGAGAGAGUGUGUGUGUGUGUGUGUGUGUGUGUGUGUACUCCUAUAAUCAGCAAAUUGCAGUCACUCGUUCGCUUGUUUCACCUCCCUGUUUCAGGCCUUCUCUCCCCUUCCCUUCCUCCUCGCUCCCUUCCUAGCCUGCCCGCCACCCUCUCCCCGCUUUUCCCUGCCUGUCCUCCCCUGCUCCUCGUGUCCCAGGUGACCCAUGAACUACCUCUAACAAUGGUGAUGAAGAACCAGAAGUGGGUUGUAGGUGACGAGAUAACUAUCCCAGGUCAUCCCGGAAGUGGCGAGGUGACCCCAUACAGCUCCACAAGGUCGUGGAGGACACCAGACAUAGCCACGUGGUCGCCUACACUCAGCCAUCCACCUCACCUGCCCCAGACUGCUACCCGGACACCAUCCAGCCACAAGAACCCAGAUAAAUAAAUUGUUAUCUUUCCAAGGGUUGAGGAGAACAUGGUCGUGGUUCAAGUGAAGCCACUACAGCCACUCCCUGACAAGCCUUCCACACCGACAGACAGUGGCAGCAGACACACAAGAGACGAUGGUGUGGUGGACAAGAGGAUGCAGGGAGACAGCAGACAGAAUGGAAGCUACAGAUGAAAGAAGAGCAGGUCAAGCCAUGGCAGCAGACACAUAGACAGACAGAUUGGAUAAGAAAGAAGUAUUAUUUAGUGAGACAGGACCACUGGAAGCUGUCAGAGUGCUGUGGCACGUGGCAAGAACCAAGUGUUCAGGAGCACACACUGUCCCUUCACCAGUCAGCAGAUCUGGGCGGCUUGGAAGCCUCACUACAAACUGAAGACCCGUUCACUUGAAGGACACAGUUGGAGUCGGACACAAGAUCCAAGAUGGAGUUAUUUUUAAACGAGAGCUUCAGGCAGAAAAUUCGAGUGGAUUUUCAACUCUAAAAAUAACUUUUUUGGGGGGGAUAUUUUGAACCUUCUUUAUCUUGAAAAAUAACUGCAGAUAUCAUGACUCUAGCUGGAAAUUGACCUGAGCAAUGUAGGGUUUGCUGCAGUGAGAUUACCAAGGCACGAGUGUCUGGGAUUUAAAGAUGAUGGAUAUGUGUCCUGUGUGCUGCUGUGCUGGGAGGAGAGGAGCAGCAGCAGUCGUGGGGCUCUGUUGCUGCUGUCACUGGUGCAGCUGUUCACUCCUGCAGCUACCUUCCCUCAACAUACUGUGUCUUCCCUCACCUGCAAUGAACAACUAUGAACAAUACUUCUCCUGCGAUGAGGAACAGUGAAUAACACCUCUCUCUCUCUCUCUCUCUCUCUCUCUCUCUCUCUCUCUCUCUCUCUCUCUCUCUCUCUCUCUCUCUCUCUCUCUCUCUCUCUCUCUCUCUCUCUCCAGUAUGUCCCCCACAGUAUGUUUACAAACCCACAGUGACUCUCCACAGCCCCUCACCAACAAUUGUCUCCUUCACACACACACACACACACACACACACACACACUGUUGGAAUCUUGUAGUGUCUACAACAAUGAAUGGAACCAAAAUCGAUAAGCCAAAUUUUCUUCCAGCCUGCGUGAGUGUAGUGAGGCUCAAUGUGUGUGUACAAGUGAAGAGUAUAUAUUAGAUGCAUGACUUAAAAAUAUGAGGCUUACACAAAAAUACAGGACAUAACUUGAGUGUGGUGAGUCAAAGGGGAGUCAAAAUGCUCAACUUUGAAUUAAUUUACAACAAAAAGUAACUAAAUAAACACACUAUAAAAAAAAAAUCUCAUCAAUUAACACUGAAAAAAAAAAUAUAUAUAUAUAUAUACACCUACGCAAAAUAAAUAAAUAAAUAAAUAAAUGAAGACUAAAUAAACCAAAUUAAUCUGAACGCUAACACACAAACCAAUAUAGUCAUAUAUUUUUAAACACUACGGUGAAGAAAGAUAAUGAAGCUUUAACAUUGAGUGAAAGAGAGAGAGAGAAAUUUGUGGUCUUCCUAAAUCUCUCUCUCUCUCUCUCUCUCUCUCUCUCUCUCUCUCUCUCUCUCUCUCUCUCUCUCUCUCUCUCUCUCUCUCUCUCUC